rnacentral:lncRNA from 1 species
GAAGCACUUCUCUUUUAUCUCGUGCUCAUACUUGUUUCCAUUUGCCAAGAGGUCUCAAGUAUUUUUUCCUCCCAAGAGCCAGAGAUAUCUACUCCCACUGAAGAUGAUUUUUUAAAGUUGUUAACACCAUGUUCAAGGAUAGAUAACAAAAAUUCUUCUGUAUAGGUCAAAAUGCAAAAAAGGUAAAUUUUUCUCAAGAUACAGAAGGGAUUCUGACUGCUUUUCCAAAGACAAAGGACAAAGAGUGAAAUGCAAAGAACAGUCUCCCAAACCCAGUACAUGCCUAAAAGUAUAACCAAAGACUAUUAGAAUAGCAAUCUGGACCCAAGACUUCAUGCAGCAUUUUUCACAAUCUUUCAGGCUUUCAACAAUGUUUUUUUUUCUUAGCAAAUGAAAUAAAAAUAACAAUAGUCUUCCCAAACAGAGAGCAAAAUAUCUUUUCCAAAACAUUAUAUUUGACAGGAUCAAUGGAGAUCAAAGUGGAUCUUAAUGGGGCACUGCAUUGAUGGUAAGGUUCCCCAGUGAUAUUUGACACUAUGGAGUCAAUAAUAAUGUCUUCUUUUUGGCUAAAAAAAAAAAAAUCUAACUGAAGUUGCUGUUAAGUUCAAGACAACCCAGAAUUAUCCUGGAAUAAGUUUGCUUACUUCUUCAAUCACUCUUUGUCUGAGAGGCUUUGAAUAAAUUAAUAAAUAAUAGCAUAUAAUUAGUAAGUAGCUAUUUUAGGAAUCCUAAAAGAUUUUGGGGACAUGAAGCUUUUUUUUUUUGAAGAGUUAGUAGUAUUGUUUUUUUUUUUUUAAUUUGUUUUAAUUAGAUACACAUGACAGUACAAUGAUCUUGACAUAUCAUACAUUUGAAUCAGAUGGGGUGUAAUUUCUUAUUUUUCUAAGUGUACAGGUUGCAGAAUCACAUUGGUCAUACAGUCACGUAUAUACACACAGCAAUACUAGUGUCUAUUUUAUUCUGCUGUCCUUCCUUUCCCCCAAGAAGCUUCUUAAAAAAGGAAAUUUGGGAGAUUAAUAAAACUGGUUCUACUAUUGAAUGGCAGUAAGAAUCAUGGGGAAGCAACCUUCAGAGGGGUGGGAUAUUUUAGUUAUAAUGACAAAAGAUGAAUGAAACUUAUUAAUAUGUGAAAUGGAAAAAUGUGCAAUAAAAGAGAAAAAAUACAACAUUUUUAUAGGAUUAGAGUGUAUAGAAUGUACAAGCAUCUGAGAACAUUUCCCAGGAAGAGUUCAUGGAAAGCACAGCAAUGAGAAAGGCACCAGAGGCACUCCAGGUGCAGGUGAUGGGUUAGACUCUUCAUUAAAGGUUUUAUAAAUUGAAUCUCAGUUGAUCCUUAAACAAUACAGGGAAUCAGGUGUUUUUGCUUCUAUUUUACAGAAAAGAAAAUGGCAUCUUUGAAAAGUUAAAGUUACUCUAUGUAUGAAUGUACGAGUUAGAAUUCUAGCCCAUAUCAGUCUAAAUCCAUAUAUUUUACUUAAUAAUUGGAUUACUUUAAAAAAAAUCAAUUGUCUCCUUUAAGUAUUAAGAAUGUUUGGUCCAAAUACCUGUUAGAAAUCUCCGUGAGUGGGAAAUUAAACCGAUUCUUUCAAAUUUAUUUGGGCCCUGUUUG